rnacentral:rRNA from 1 species
AUGAUUAAUACUGAUUACAUUAAUGAGGAUCACAUAGAGGCCGCGAUGGUUUAUAUCCGGACACUGGCAGACUUGGAGAAGCUUUGCAGCAAAACUGUCGUGCACAUGACGGGAAUUGGUGGGGAAACAUGUACACCUGAAAUGCUUGAAGCCAUCAUUUUGAAAAAGUGGUUGCAUGGCGGUGUCAUCAAUAGUUAUUGCAACCAUAUGCAGACCCAUAAUCCUCAUGCUGACCGUCACAUAUUAUCAUCUUGGGUGUCCCACUGGCUUAUUCUUCGUGCUGAUGGAAAGGUUAACAACUCUAAGAGGCAUUUUAUGGAUCACUUCACAAACCAAACUAAAAUGGUGUCUAGAGUUACUGAAGAGUAUUUCAUCAAAGAUAAGGUACUUCAGUUUAGUAUGAUCAUUCGUAGUACAUCUGUGUGUACACCAACAUGA